GGGGAAUCUUCCGCAAUGGACGAAAGCCUGACGGAGCAACGCCGCGUGAGUGAUGACGGCCUUCGGGUUGUAAAGCUCUGUUAAUCGGGACGAAAGGUCUUCUUGCGAAUAGUUAGAAGAAUUGACGGUACCGGAAUAGAAAGCCACGGCUAACUACGUGCCAGCAGCCGCGGUAAUACGUAGGUGGCAAGCGUUGUCCGGAAUUAUUGGGCGUAAAGCGCGCGCAGGCGGAUCAGUCAGUCUGUCUUAAAAGUUCGGGGCUUAACCCCGUGAUGGGAUGGAAACUGCUGAUCUAGAGUAUCGGAGAGGAAAGUGGAAUUCCUAGUGUAGCGGUGAAAUGCGUAGAUAUUAGGAAGAACACCAGUGGCGAAGGCGACUUUCUGGACGAAAACUGACGCUGAGGCGCGAAAGCCAGGGGAGCGAACGGGAUUAGAUACCCCGGUAGUCCUGGCCGUAAACGAUGGGUACUAGGUGUAGGAGGUAUCGACCCCUUCUGUGCCGGAGUUAACGCAAUAAGUACCCCGCCUGGGGAGUACGACCGCAAGGUUG
rnacentral:rRNA from 1 species